GCGGGGGAAUGCGCGGUCGCGCCCUGACCUUGAGGGGGAAACUUCUUGAGGGAGGGGUGAGGAAAGUCCGGGCACCGCAGGGCAGGAUGCCAGCUAACGGCUGGUCGGCGAGCAGAGCGCCUGCGCGAGCGCCCACAGCGCGCAGGAAGCGGCGAAGCUGAAGGACAGUGCCACAGAAACCAGACCGCCAGUGUUCUGCCGAAAAGGCAAGGUCAGGGCGAAGGCUGAACAUUGGUCAGGGUGAAACGGUGCGGUAAGAGCGCACCAGACUCGGCGGAGACGCAGGGUGCUGGUAAACCCCAUCCGGUGCAAGACCCGACAGUACGCGAGGAGCGGCCCGCUCCAUUGACCGUCAGGAUGGUCGCACGAGGCGUCUGGCAACAGCCGUCCCAGAGAGAUGACCGCUCAGCCCGCAAGGGUGACACAGAACCCGGCUUACAGUUCCCCCGCACCA
rnacentral:RNase_P_RNA from 1 species